rnacentral:lncRNA from 14 species
AUGAGGACGGGCCCAACAGACAUGUCAGGGGUGACGGGGGGGGCUCUGGAUCCCCUCCCCCGGGUGAAUGGGGGACGCUCCGCAGCCCUGAGGAUCCGGAGGGGCUGCGGAGGUGCCGCGGAGGUGCCGGACGGAGCUGCCCAAAGGAUCCACGGCUGGAGGGAGCCCCGGCCCAGCUCCCCGGCAGCGUGUCUGGGGGGGUCCGCUCGGCGUGGGGCCGGCCCCUCGCCCCCCCAGCCGCAGGGCAGGGUAUCUGGUUUCCCCCCCGAGGCAGCAGAUCCCGCCAGCAGCGCUGGAGCAGUUGGGAAAAGCCGCCGGCCCGUCCCCGGGGGUCUCCAGCGUGCCGAGGCGGCGGGGCUGCCCCUCGCUGCCUUGUCCCCUCCCCAAAGCCCCGCGCUGCGCUUGGCUCUGCGGAGCUUUCCGGCUGCCACGGCUCCCGCUGGGACAACACCUGAGACAGGAGAGGAGGAGGAGGAGGAAGGAGACGCGGCCCGGCAGAUGCAGCUCCGGCUUCCCGAGCCGCUCUCCCUGCGCCAGCCAGCGGUGCCAGGAGGGAGCCCCCGCCCCGGGACAAAGCGGGCACAGGGCACGGGCAGGUCAAGCCGCUGGGGAGCUUCAUCCUCACAUCCUGCUCCUUCUCCUCCUCCUCCUCGCCCGGAGUGGGUGAGGCCGUGCCCGCCCUGCCCUCGGGCCCGUCCCCGGGCAGCUGAGCUCACCUCCAGCCCGGCCUCCCACUGCUGCCCUUUGCGGCCGGCAGCCGGGGGAGGGAGGGACGGGGGCUGCCCGACCCCAGAAAUCCCGGCUGCAGCCCCAAAGCCGGCAGCGCCCGGCUCCUUGGGGACAGCGCUGGGGCGCAGGCAGGGGCACGGAGCGGCCAUCCGGCUCGGCGUGUCCCCUCCUGCCGGGCUGGCAGCGGCAGCCCAGCUGUGGCCGUCUGUCUCGCCGAGCCGCUGCCCGGCCGAGGGCGCCGUGCCAUGUGCCGGGAAGGGAGCCGGAGGAGCGGGAAGGAGCUGGGCCACGGCCCCGAGCCCGCCGGGUGCGAGGGAACAGCGCUGUCACCUUCCCCGCCAUGGCCGGGUGAGCUGCCCAGCCCCAGGGGCAGCCCCGGGCGCGGAGCCCCCCGAGGGCUGCCAGGCUCCCGCUCCCGGCCCGCAUCCAGCCCGUUCCCUGCGAGAGGGAGGGGUGGCCCGGCGCUGGCCCCCGCUGAGGUGUGUGUGUCACGACCGCAGCCAGCUGCGUCCUCUCCCCAGCCCCAUAAAACGCCGAGCCCCGAGGCCAGAGCCCCUCCUGGGGCCGGCGGCUCCAGAGGAGCCCGGCUGCUCUGCCAGAGCUGGAACGGAGGCUCCCACACAAUCCCGUCCUCCUCCUCCUCCUCCUCCUGGGAGGAAGGGAAGCAGCCAGUGCUCACCUCAGGGGUGGAGGAGCCAGAUCCGGCUGGAGCCCGAGCCCAGGCCAAGGCAGGCCUGGAGUCCCUGGAGCUCCGUGCUGGCUGUCCCAGCACAGCCCCUCCACGUGGCUGGGCCAGGAGCUCCUGUACCUGCAGGAGAUGUGCCAGGCAGGGCCAAAAUCCCGGAUAAAAGGCACCGAGCACUCCAGCCAGGGAAAGGAGGAGGAGGAGAGGCUGUCACCCUGCCCUGGAGGACGGCAGCCGUGGGACAAGGGCUCUGCAGUGCCCUUCCCGUUUCCCCGGCUCAGGUGCCAGCCCUGCUCCGCAGCGGGGCCCCUCGGCUCGGGCUCCGCGGCCACCGGGGCCGGCAGGAGGGACGGGGGGAGCGGCUGCUCCAGCGGCAGGCGGGAGCGGCGGGGGGACCCUGCUGUGAGCGCCACUCGAGCUCCUCAGAGCCACAGCCCCGCUCCCUCGAGGCCACGGCUCCUGAGCCCGCCGCUCCGGGCUGGCUGCGAGCACCGGCUGCUGCGGGGCCAGUGUCACACUGCGGGGCCAGUGUCACAUCCUUGGGCCAGUGUCACACUACGGGGCCAGUGUCACAGUGCGGGGUCAGUGUCACACUGCGGGCCAGUGUCACAUCCCUGAGCCAGUGUCACACCCCUGGGCCAGUGUCACAUUGCUGGGCCAGUGUCACACUGCUGAGCCAGUGUCACAUCUCCGAGCCAGUGUCACACUGCUGGGUCAGUGUCACAUCCCUGAGCCAGUGCCACAUCCCCGAGCCAGUGCCACAUCCCUGA